CCUACGGGAGGCAGCAGUGAGGAAUCUUGGUCAAUGGACGAGAGUCUGAACCAGCCAAGUCGCGUGAAGGAUGACUGCCCUAUGGGUUGUAAACUUCUUUUAUAUGGGAAUAAAAUGUUCCACGUGUGGGAUUUUGUAUGUACCAUAUGAAUAAGGAUCGGCUAACUCCGUGCCAGCAGCCGCGGUAAUACGGAGGAUCCGAGCGUUAUCCGGAUUUAUUGGGUUUAAAGGGAGCGUAGGUGGAUUGUUAAGUCAGUUGUGAAAGUUUGCGGCUCAACCGUAAAAUUGCAGUUGAAACUGACAGUCUUGAGUACAGUAGAGGUGGGCGGAAUUCGUGGUGUAGCGGUGAAAUGCUUAGAUAUCACGAAGAACUCCGAUUGCGAAGGCAGUUCACUGGACUGCAACUGACACUGAGGCUCGAAAGUGUGGGUAUCAAACAGGAUUAGAUACCCCAGUAGUC
rnacentral:rRNA from 1 species